rnacentral:rRNA from 1 species
UACGGGGGGAGCAAGCGUUGUUCGGAUUUACUGGGCGUAAAGCGCACGUAGGCGGCGAGGCAAGUCAGGGGUGAAAUCCCGGGGCUCAACCCCGGAACUGCCCUUGAAACUGCAGUGCUAGAAUCUUGGAGAGGCGAGUGGAAUUCCGAGUGUAGAGGUGAAAUUCGUAGAUAUUCGGAAGAACACCAGUGGCGAAGGCGACUCGCUGGACAAGGAUUGACGCUGAGGUGCGAAAGCGUGGGGAGCAAACAGG